AGAGUUUGAUCCUGGCUCAGAACGAACGCUGGCGGCGUGCUUUACACAUGCAAGUCGAACGGCAGCGCGGGGGCGAACCCUCGGUGGCGAGUGGCGAACGGGUGGAGUAAUGCAUCGGAACGGUAUCCUUGAGUGGGGGAGUAACGCAGCGAAAAGUUAGUGCUAAAUACCGCAUAAGCUCUGAGGAGGAAAGCGGGGACCGGAAAGCUCGCGCUGAAGGAGCGGCCGAUGUCCGAUUAGCUAGUUGGUGAGGUAAAAGGCUUACCAAGGCGACGAUCGGUAGCUGGUCUGAGAGGAUGAUCAGCCACACUGGGAC
rnacentral:rRNA from 1 species